GAGUUUGAUCCUGGCUCAGGAUGAACGCUGGCGGCGUGCCUAAUACAUGCAAGUCGAGCGAACAGACGAGGAGCUUGCUCCUUUGACGUUAGCGGCGGACGGGUGAGUAACACGUGGAUAACCUACCUAUAAGACUGGGAUAACUUCGGGAAACCGGAGCUAAUACCGGAUAACAUGUUGAACCGCAUGGUUCAACAGUGAAAGACGGUCUUGCUGUCACUUAUAGAUGGAUCCGCGCCGCAUUAGCUAGUUGGUAAGGUAACGGCUUACCAAGGCAACGAUGCGUAGCCGACCUGAGAGGGUGAUCGGCCACACUGGAACUGAGACACGGUCCAGACUCCUACGGGAGGCAGCAGUAGGGAAUCUUCCGCAAUGGGCGAGAGCCUGACGGAGCAACGCCGCGUGAGUGAAGAAGGUCUUCGGAUCGUAAAACUCUGUUAUUAGGGAAGAACAAAUGUGUAAGUAACUAUGCACGUCUUGACGGUACCUAAUCAGAAAGCCACGGCUAACUACGUGCCAGCAGCCGCGGUAAUACGUAGGUGGCAAGCGUUAUCCGGAAUUAUUGGGCGUAAAGCGCGCGUAGGCGGUUUUUUAAGUCUGAUGUGAAAGCCCACGGCUCAACCGUGGAGGGUCAUUGGAAACUGGAAAACUUGAGUGCAGAAGAGGAAAGUGGAAUUCCAUGUGUAGCGGUGAAAUGCGCAGAGAUAUGGAGGAACACCAGUGGCGAAGGCGACUUUCUGGUCUGUAACUGACGCUGAUGUGCGAAAGCGUGGGGAUCAAACAGGAUUAGAUACCCUGGUAGUCCACGCCGUAAACGAUGAGUGCUAAGUGUUAGGGGGUUUCCGCCCCUUAGUGCUGCAGCUAACGCAUUAAGCACUCCGCCUGGGGAGUACGACCGCAAGGUUGAAACUCAAAGGAAUUGACGG
rnacentral:rRNA from 1 species